UACAGUAAAAUACAGGAAAAAUACAGGAAAAAAAUAAAAGCUAGUAAAACAUAAGUGAUGUCUAACAUUAAAACUAAAUGUCUUAUUUUACAGGUCCCUGUACAUUGGCAAUUUCAAGUAUACUUGUAGCAGCUUCCUUUCAGAAUCACCAAUUGCCCUA